GUGAGGAAUAUUGGACAAUGGGCGCAAGCCUGAUCCAGCCAUGCCGCGUGCAGGAAGACGCAUCUAUGGUGUGUAAACUGCUUUUGUACGGGAAGAAACACUCCCUCGUGAGGGAGCUUGACGGUACCGUAAGAAUAAGGAUCGGCUAACUCCGUGCCAGCAGCCGCGGUAAUACGGAGGAUCCAAGCGUUAUCCGGAAUCAUUGGGUUUAAAGGGUCCGUAGGCGGUUUAAUAAGUCAGUGGUGAAAGCCCAUCGCUCAACGAUGGAACGGCCAUUGAUACUGUUAGACUUGAAUUACAAGGAAGUAACUAGAAUAUGUAGUGUAGCGGUGAAAUGCUUAGAUAUUACAUGGAAUACCAAUUGUGAAGGCAGGUUACUACUUGUGGAUUGACGCUGAUGGACGAAAGCGUGGGGAGCGAACAGGAUUAGAAACCCGGGUAGUCC
rnacentral:rRNA from 1 species